GAAUUCGGCAAGCCGGAUUCGUAACUUCGGGAUAAGGAUUGGCUCUAUAGGCUGGGUGUCGCUGGGCUGGGUAAGGCUCGCGGGAUGUGCUUUAGUAAUGGCCGAGGCGCUUUCGGGCGCCGAGAUCGUGAACGGGCCGCUCGGGGCUGAAAACUAGAUCAUUGCGGAGGUUCGCCCGAGUGGUGAAAACCGGCACACCGCUAACAGCUAACGUAGAACUUACAAAGGCUAGGGGAAUCCAACUGUAUAAUUAAAACAUAGCGAUUUGUUGGUGCCAAAGCGUGUAAACGAAUCGUGAUUUCUGCCCAGUGCUCUGGAUGUUAAAAUGGCGAAAUCCAACCAAGCUCGGGUAAACGGCGGGAGUAACUAUGACUCUCUUAAGGUAGCCAAAUGCCUCGUCAUUUAAUUUGUGACGCGCAUGAAUGGAUUAAUGAGAUUCCCACUGUCCCUACCUACUAUCUAGCGAAACCACAGCCAAGGGAACGGGCUUGGCACAAUUAGCGGGGAAAGAAGACCCUGUUGAGCUUGACUCUAGGCAUAGACGCGAGGUGAUUCUAAAGGUGUAGCAUAGGUGGGAGGGCCCAUGCCCGUCAAUGAAAUACCACCACUUUCGACAUCGCUUUGCUAAUGCUGUAACGAACGAACGGAACCGCGUCCCUCUCACCGUAAAAGGUGGGGGAAGGGAUAGGCAAUCCAAAUUCUAGCGCUUUCCGCGCUCAUACGACGAGUUGGCUCCCCUGGGUGAGUACCGUGGAACCACGAGCUGGGCUUCCGAGUCCGGCGAGUGCUGUUUCCGCGGGAACCAGAGACGGUCUUCUCGGCCUCUGUGGGCUUCAUGCCGGUACGUAAUUGCGUGUAGCAGACUAUCUAUGUUGGGGAGUUUGGCUGGGGCGGAAAACUGCUACACGGCAACGGCAGUCUCCUAAGGUCCACUCAGAGACGACAGAAACGUCUCGUAGAGCAUAAAGGCAAAAGUGGGCUUAACUCGCAUUUUCAGUAGUAAUGUGAAGCAAGAAAUUGCGGCUUAACGAUCCUUAGCGGCGGGUGCCAGCCCACGCUUGAGGUGAGAGAAAAGUUACCACAGGGAUAACUGGCUUGUGGCCGCCAAGCGUUCAUAGCGACGUGGCUUUUUGAUCCUUCGAUGUCGGCUCUUCCUAUCAUACUAAAGCAGAAUUC
rnacentral:rRNA from 1 species